ncrna:Amborella trichopoda miR8565c stem-loop (atr-MIR8565c)
CCCACACCCAUGUGUGUAGGACUCCAAAGGAUCACAUUUAAAUUUGGCACAGAUCUCUAGAAAAGUUAUCAUAUGGGUGUGGAACUUGACUUUUCUAGAGAUCUGUGCCAAAUUUAUUGGUAAUCUUUUGGGGUCCUACACACAUGGAUGUGGA